UCUCAUCGUGGCAGCUGGCAGUGUCUCUCUGACUCAGCCUUCCACUUCCCAGCUCUAUUCUCUUCCUUGUCCCGCCUAUACUUCCUGCCUAGCCAAUGGCCAAUCAGUGAUUUAUUUAUUGACCAAUCAGAGCAACACAUUUGCCAUACAGACCAUCCCACAGCAUCUGGCCACCUCUAGGACAAGCUUUACUUCUUUCUGUACUGAUCUGUUAUUCCUCCAUCCCUUUGGUAAACUGUUGCUCAGCACUUUAAAUCCUUCUAGACGAGAGACUCACAAGUACUGACUUGGCCUUCUGAUCAGGCCUCCCCCAGCCCCAGGAAUUGUGGAUCCACACAAAUCUUACUACAUUUCCCUAAGUGACAAAGACACACCCCUUGUCUACUUGUUCUUCCUUUCACACGUCUCCCUCCCCAACCCUUUUUUUUGAAGUAUGGUCUCACCAUAUAGUUCCUAGAUGGCCUGAAAUUCUUUUGUAGCCCAGGCUGGCCUCGAACUCACAGAGAUCCAUUUGCUUCUGCCUCCCGAGUGCCGGGAUUAAAGGCGUGCGCCACCUUUCCUCUCUUCCUUUUUUUUUUUUUUUAAUUGCUUUGGCACUUUACAAGUCCAGUUUGCACACUAGUGCAAGCCAUUCACAUGCACCGAGCUGCCCUCUGUCACGACAGUCGCAGCCCUCGGGAAGCAGAGGCAGGUAAAGCGCUGUGACCUCCAGCCUGGUCUACAAAGUGAGUCCCACGACACCCAGGGCUACACAGCGAGACUGUCUCAAAAAGCCGAAGAUUCCUAAAUGGUCUUACUAAAAACCCGGAGCCAGAUAUCGGGGUAAAUGCUGAAAGAUCAGAGGAGACAAGCCACAGCCUCUUCUUACCUCGCCAACUCCUCAGCCGACAAGAGAUGAUCCUGUCUCCACGAAUCCUCAGACUGAAUGCCUCUGAGUCCUCAGCCAAAAGGGCCUAGUUCCUGUCUCCUCACACCUUAUAUGCCCUUGUCCGCCCAGCCAUUUCUCUUCCUGUCUCAACCUCCCUAGUGCUGGGAUUAAUGGCGUGUGUGCUUCCCAAAUACUGGGGUUAAAGGUGUGAGAUCUCAAGUGCUGGAAUUAAAGGUGUGUGCCACCAUUGCCCGGCCUCUAUGUCUAAUCUAGUGGCUGGCUCUGUCCUCUGAUCCUCAGGCAAAUUUUAUUAGAGUGCAACAAAAUAUCACCACAGGCCAUGACCAAGGCAACUUAUAAAAGAAACAUUUAAUUUGAGGCAUAUGUUUCCAGAGAGCUAGAGUCCAUGACCUUCGUCGUCCGGACAGGGAAUGUGGCAGCAUGCAGAAAGGCAUGGAGCUGGGGCAGUAACUGAGAGAUCACAUCAGUUCCGCAAGCUUGAGUCAGAGAGCUAAUGGAAUUCUGUGCAUUUUGAAGCCUUGAAGCCAGCCCCCAGUGGCACACCUUCUCCAACAAGGCCACACCUCUUAAUCCUUCCCAAACAGUUCCACCAGCUGGGGGACAAGUAUUGAAACAUACGAGGUUAUAAGGCCUGUUCUCAUGCAAACCACUACCCAGGGUUAGUGUGAUGAUUCAGUGGUGGAGAGCACUUGCUGCUUUUCUAGACGACCAGGGCUCAGUUUUUCAGCACCCAUACCACAGCUUACAACCAUCUGCAACUCCAGUUCCUGAGGAUUUGACACCCUAUGCCAGCCAGCCUCUUGAGGCAUCACCAGGCACGCAUGUGAUGAGCAUACAUAUGUGCUCGCAAAACAGCUAUACAAACAAAAACCCUUUUGAAAAAAUAAAUAAAUAAAAGCAACAACACAGUCAUCAUUGGAUUUAUUUUAUUUUAAAGGUAUCUGUGUCCACCAAGUAAAUACACACUGGGAUUUGUGCAGUUUGGUCUGUCUUCCUCGCUGGCAUGCAACAUUUUGGCAGAUGUGAGUGGGCGGGCCAGGCGGCCCUCCUGGUGACCUGGCUCUCUGAGAGGGAUGUAGUGAAUGGAAGGAGGGAGAGUGUAGUGAGAAGCUUCUGGUGAAGUGGGUGUUUCUUGCUGACAUAAGCAAGCGGCAUUUUCCCUUACAUCUUGCUGAAGACAGAGAAGGAUGUCGCCCUCCCUUCGUCUGCCCUGAGGGUACCUUCACAUUCCUUGUAUUUGGAAAGCAUUGUCCCGCGGCAGAAGGACAAACACUCCCUCAGGUUCUCAGGUGUCCGGCUGGCAUGAAGCCACAGACGGGAUGCUGUCUUCCUCCUUCGCCCACCGGCUCUGAGGCGGUGACUCACGUGGCCUGCCUGUUCUUUCUUUUGAAUUGGGGUUUAGGGUAGGGGAACCACAUUGGACCCCUCUUGCAAAUAAGUGAUGUUCAGACUCUUAGGACUGAUUCAGAGCCCUUCAACUAGUUAAGCAUUUUCCACUGGGGGGAAAAAAAAAGCAUGAAGAGAAAGAUGAUAUAAACUUCCCAGGACCUGGGGGUGGUGGGGCACGCCUUUAAUCCCAGCACUUGGAAGGCAGAGCCAGGCAGAUCUCUGUGAGUUCGAGGCCAGCCUGGUCUACAGAGCGAGAUCCAGAACAGGCACCAAAACUACACGGAGAAACCCUGUCUCGAAAAACAAAAC